rnacentral:rRNA from 1 species
UACCAGCACCCCGAGUGGUCGGGACGUUUAUUGGGCCUAAAGCAUCCGUAGCCGGUUCUACAAGUCUUCCGUUAAAUCCAACUGCUUAACAGGUGGGCUGCGGAAGAUACUAUAGAGCUAGGAGGCGGGAGAGGCAAGCGGUACUCGAUGGGUAGGGGUAAAAUCCGUUGAUCCAUUGAAGACCACCAGUGGCGAAGGCGGCUUGCCAGAACGCGCUCGACGGUGACGGGAUGAAAGCUGGGGAGCAAACCGG